rnacentral:rRNA from 1 species
ACGGAAUAGAUACCCAGGUAGUCCACGCCCUAAACGAUGUCUACUAGUUGUCGGGUCUUAAUUGACCUGGUAAACGCAGCUAAACGCGUGAAGUAGACCGCCUGGGGAGUACGGUCGCAAGAUUAAAACUCAAAGGAAUUGACGGGGACCCGCACAAGCGGUGGAUGAUGUGGAUUAAUUCGAUGCAACGCGAAAAACCUUACCUACCCUUGACAUGGAUGGAAUCCCUGAGAGAUUGGGGAGUGCUCGAAAGAGAACCAUUACACAGGUGCUGCAUGGCUGUCGUCAGCUCGUGUCGUGAGAUGUUGGGUUAAGUCCCGCAACGAGCGCAACCCUUGUCAUUAGUUGCUACGAAAGGGCACUCUAAUGAGACUGCCGGUGACAAACCGGAGGAAGGUGGGGAUGACGUCAAGUCCUCAUGGCCCUUAUGGGUAGGGCUUCACACGUCAUACAAUGGUACAUACAGAGGGCCGCCAACCCGCGAGGGGAGCUAAUCCCAGAAAGUGUAUCGUAGUCCGGAUUGUAGUCUGCAACUCG